rnacentral:rRNA from 1 species
CCUACGGGGGGCAGCAGUAGGGAAUCUUCCGCAAUGGACGAAAGUCUGACGGAGCAACGCCGCGUGAGUGAUGAAGGUUUUCGGAUCGUAAAGCUCUGUUGUUAGGGAAGAACAAGUGCAAGAGUAACUGCUUGCACCUUGACGGUACCUAACCAGAAAGCCACGGCUAACUACGUGCCAGCAGCCGCGGUAAUACGUAGGUGGCAAGCGUUGUCCGGAAUUAUUGGGCGUAAAGGGCUCGCAGGCGGUUUCUUAAGUCUGAUGUGAAAGCCCCCGGCUCAACCGGGGAGGGUCAUUGGAAACUGGGAAACUUGAGUGCAGAAGAGGAGAGUGGAAUUCCACGUGUAGCGGUGAAAUGCGUAGAGAUGUGGAGGAACACCAGUGGCGAAGGCGACUCUCUGGUCUGUAACUGACGCUGAGGAGCGAAAGCG